UACCAGCUCUUCGAGUGGUGUGGAUGUUUAUUGGGCCUAAAGCAUCCGUAGCUGGCUGGGCAAGUCCCCUGUUAAAUCCACCGAUUUAAUCGUUGGAGUGCGGGGGAUACUGUUCGGCUAGGGGACGGGAGAGGCAGACGGUAUUUUCGGGGUAGGGGUGAAAUCCUAUAAUCCCGGGAAGACCACCAGUGGCGAAGGCUGUCUGCUAGAACGCGCCCGACGGAGAGGGAUGAAAGCUGGGGGAGCGAACCGGAUUAGAUACCCGGGUAGUCCCAGCUGUAAACGAUGCAGGCUAGGUGUUUGGGCGGCCACGUGCCGCUCUAGUGCCGCAGGGAAGCCGUUAAGCCUGCCGCCUGGGGAGUACGGCCGCAAGGCUGAAACUUAAAGGAAUUGGCGGGGAGCACCACAAGGGGUGAAGCUUGCGGUUU
rnacentral:rRNA from 1 species